rnacentral:rRNA from 1 species
UACGAAGGGGGCUAGCGUUGUUCGGAAUCACUGGGCGUAAAGGGCGCGUAGGCGGCUUUAUAAGUCGGGGGUGAAAGCCUGUGGCUCAACCACAGAAUUGCCUUCGAUACUGUAGAGCUUGAGACCGGAAGAGGUAAGUGGAACUGCGAGUGUAGAGGUGAAAUUCGUAGAUAUUCGCAAGAACACCAGUGGCGAAGGCGGCUUACUGGUCCGGUUCUGACGCUGAGGAGCGAAAGCGUGGGGAGCGAACAGG